AUGAUAUUAAUCUCUCUAAACAAGUGCAAAGGUCAAACACUGACUGAAUCAGAGUCAGUAGUCAUCAAACCAGGCAAUGAACACAGACUGACCUGUACUUUCUCUGGGAUUGAUGUUGGAGAUGCAGAUAUAUCAUGGAUAAGACAGGCUGAAGGGAAAGCACUGGAGUGGAUCUCACAUAUUUCUGCUCCAAGUGGCAGUGGCAAAUAUUACUCUAAAGCCGUUGAAGGAAGAUUCAGCAUCACCAGAGACAACAGUAAAAUGCAGGUGUAUCUGCACAUGACAAAGCUGCAGACUGAAGACACUGGAGUGUAUUACUGUGCUAGAAGAAACACAAUAACUAAAGAGGCUGAAGUGUAG